GACGAACGCUGGCGGCGUGCUUAACACAUGCAAGUCGAACGGAAAGGCCCUGCUUUUGUGGUGUGCUCGAGUGGCGAACGGGUGAGUAACACGUGAGUAACCUGCCCUUGACUUUGGGAUAACUUCAGGAAACUGUGGCUAAUACCGGAUAGGAGCUCCUGCUGCAUGGUGGGGGUUGGAAAGUUUCGGCGGUUGGGGAUGGACUCGCGGCUUAUCAGCUUGUUGGUGGGGUAGUGGCUUACCAAGGCUUUGACGGGUAGCCGGCCUGAGAGGGUGACCGGCCACAUUGGGACUGAGAUACGGCCCAGACUCAUACGGGAGGCAGCAGUGGAGAAUAUUGCACAAUGGGCGGAAGCCUGAUGCAGCAACGCCGCGUGCGGGAUGACGGCCUUCGGGUUGUAAACCGCUUUCGCCUGUGACGAAGCGUGAGUGACGGUAAUGGGUAAAGAAGCACCGGCUAACUACGUG
rnacentral:rRNA from 1 species